rnacentral:rRNA from 1 species
UGUUUCGGCUAGGGGGCCAUCCCGGCUUACCAACCCGAUGCAAACUGCGAAUACCGGAGAAUGUUAUCACGGGAGACACACGGCGGGUGCUAACGUCCGUCGUGAAGAGGGAAACAACCCAGACCGCCAGCUAAGGUCCCAAAGUCAUGGUUAAGUGGGAAACGAUGUGGGAAGGCCCAGACAGCCAGGAUGUUGGCUUAGAAGCAGCCAUCAUUUAAAGAAAGCGUAAUAGCUCACUGGUCGAGUCGGCCUGCGCGGAAGAUGUAACGGGGCUAAACCAUGCACCGAAGCUGCGGCAGCGACACUGUGUGUUGUUGGGUAGGGGAGCGUUCUGUAAGCCUGUGAAGGUGUGUCGUGAGGCAUGCUGGAGGUAUCAGAAGUGCGAAUGCUGACAUAAGUAACGAUAAAGCGGGUGAAAAGCCCGCUCGCCGGAAGACCAAGGGUUCCUGUCCAACGUUAAUCGGGGCAGGGUGAGUCGACCCCUAAGGCGAGGCCGAAAGGCGUAGUCGAUGGGAAACGGGUUAAUAUUCCCGUACUUGGUGUUACUGCGAAGGGGGGACGGAGAAGGCUAUGUUGGCCGGGCGACGGUUGUCCCGGUUUAAGCGUGUAGGUGUGUGUUCCAGGUAAAUCCGGUCCACUUUAACACUGAGGCGUGAUGACGAGGCACUACGGUGCUGAAGCAACAAAUGCCCUGCUUCCAGGAAAAGCCUCUAAGCAUCAGGUAACAUCAAAUCGUACCCCAAACCGACACAGGUGGUCAGGUAGAGAAUACCAAGGCGCUUGAGAGAACUCGGGUGAAGGAACUAGGCAAAAUGGUGCCGUAACUUCGGGAGAAGGCACGCUGACACGUAGGUGAAGUGAUUUACUCACGGAGCUGAAGUCAGUCGAAGAUACCAGCUGGCUGCAACUGUUUAUUAAAAACACAGCACUGUGCAAACACGAAAGUGGACGUAUACGGUGUGACGCCUGCCCGGUGCCGGAAGGUUAAUUGAUGGGGUCAGCGCAAGCGAAGCUCCUGAUCGAAGCCCCGGUAAACGGCGGCCGUAACUAUAACGGUCCUAAGGUAGCGAAAUUCCUUGUCGGGUAAGUUCCGACCUGCACGAAUGGCGUAAUGAUGGCCAGGCUGUCUCCACCCGAGACUCAGUGAAAUUGAACUCGCUGUGAAGAUGCAGUGUACCCGCGGCAAGACGGAAAGACCCCGUGAACCUUUACUAUAGCUUGACACUGAACAUUGAGCCUUGAUGUGUAGGAUAGGUGGGAGGCUUUGAAGCGUGGAC